GAGGGAGAGAUAGAGACGGAGACUGAGAAAGGGAAGGAGUGAGGAGCCCUUCAAUCACGUCGAAGCAGAUCGUCAGCAGCGAGAGAAGCUGAACCAGAGAUUCUACACCCUGCGAGCAGUCAUCCCCAAUAUCUCAAAAAUGGACAAAGCUUCUCUCCUCAGAGACGCAAUCUCCUACAUUAACGAGCUCCGGUCAAAGAUCCAAUCCCUGGAGUCCGACAAUGAGGGGUUAAGAAGCCUAAGUCAAAUUUCUCCAGAAGGAUAAGGAUUCGGGUCUUUCCCGGCUCCCUCAGCCCUCCGAACCCGAUAUGAAGAUGAUCAACGGAGGCAACGGAAGAUGCCACGGAUUGGAAAGCGAGGUCAAGUUAAUAACAAUGGAGGAGAUGAUUCGAGUACAGAGUGUAAAGAGGAAUCACCCGGCAGCAAGGCUGAUACGUCGACUGAAAUUGAAUAGGUGAGAAGGGAGACGGAGGAGAGAGCAAUUGAGGGAGCACGACAAGAGGGGGAAAAUGGCAAUUCUGGCCCGGCUAAGAGCUAAGGCUGAAUUCCAAGAUGGGAAAAAGAGAGAGGAAGAGGUGGGAAGCAGAGCUCAAUUUUUAUCUUUUUGGCCAUUGUCAUAAACUCAUUUUGUAAUCACUGUCCAGUCCUGUGCUUUUCGUCAAAGUUACUAUCUCGAAUACUUGCUAAAUAUGAUUUCAAAGGAACUCCAAAUAAUUGCUUUGAUGGUCAACUUGUUCCGGACAGAGUCUCAGCAAGGAUGUGAACAAAGGAACUGUGUAUGUUGAGAGGCGUAUAUACAUGAUCUGAGAGGAAUAAUAGAAAAAAGCAAACUCAACAUGAAUUAAAUUACAAUGUAAAGCGACAUUCAUUU